rnacentral:rRNA from 1 species
AUUGAACGCUGGCGGCAUGCCUUACACAUGCAAGUCGAACGGCAGCACGGGAGCAAUCCUGGUGGCGAGUGGCGAACGGGUGAGUAAUAUAUCGGAACGUGCCCAGUCGUGGGGGAUAACGCAGCGAAAGCUGUGCUAAUACCGCAUACGAUCUAUGGAUGAAAGCGGGGGAUCGCAAGACCUCGCGCGAUUGGAGCGGCCGAUAUCAGAUUAGGUAGUUGGUGGGGUAAAGGCUCACCAAGCCGACGAUCUGUAGCUGGUCUGAGAGGACGACCAGCCACACUGGAACUGAGACACGGUCCAGACUCCUACGGGAGGCAGCAGUGGGGAAUUUUGGACAAUGGGCGCAAGCCUGAUCCAGCAAUGCCGCGUGCAGGAUGAAGGCCUUCGGGUUGUAAACUGCUUUUGUACGGAACGAAAAGGCUCUGGUUAAUACCUGGGGCUCAUGACGGUACCGUAAGAAUAAGCACCGGCUAACUACGUGCCAGCAGCCGCGGUAAUACGUAGGGUGCGAGCGUUAAUCGGAAUUACUGGGCGUAAAGCGUGCGCAGGCGGUAAUGCAAGACAGAUGUGAAAUCCCCGGGCUUAACCUGGGAACUGCAUUUGUGACUGCAUUGCUGGAGUGCGGCAGAGGGGGAUGGAAUUCCGCGUGUAGCAGUGAAAUGCGUAGAUAUGCGGAGGAACACCGAUGGCGAAGGCAAUCCCCUGGGCCUGCACUGACGCUCAUGCACGAAAGCGUGGGGAGCAAACAGGAUUAGAUACCCUGGUAGUCCACGCCCUAAACGAUGUCAACUGGUUGUUGGGUCUUAACUGACUCAGUAACGAAGCUAGCGCGUGAAGUUGACCGCCUGGGGAGUACGGCCGCAAGGUUGAAACUCAAAGGAAUUGACGGGGACCCGCACAAGCGGUGGAUGAUGUGGUUUAAUUCGAUGCAACGCGAAAAACCUUACCCACCUUUGACAUGUAUGGAAUCCUUUAGAGAUGAAGGAGUGCUCGAAAGAGAGCCAUAACACAGGUGCUGCAUGGCUGUCGUCAGCUCGUGCCGUGAGAUGUUGGGUUAAGUCCCGCAGCGAGCGCAACCCUUGCCAUUAGUUGCUACGAAAGGGCACUCUAAUGGGACUGCCGGUGAUAAACCGGAGGAAGGUGGGGAUGACGUCAAGUCCUCAUGGCCCUUAUAGGUGGGGCUACACACGUCAUACAAUGGCUGGUACAAAGGGUUGCCAACCCGCGAGGGGGAGCUAAUCCCAUAAAACCAGUCGUAGUCCGGAUCGCAGUCUGCAACUCGACUGCGUGAAGUCGGAAUCGCUAGUAAUCGUGGAUCAGAAUGUCACGGUGAAUACGUUCCCGGGUCU